rnacentral:rRNA from 1 species
GACGAACGCUGGCGGCGUGCCUAAUACAUGCAAGUCGAACGCUUUUUCUUUCACCGGAGCUUGCUCCACCGAAAGAAAAAGAGUGGCGAACGGGUGAGUAACACGUGGGUAACCUGCCCAUCAGAAGGGGAUAACACUUGGAAACAGGUGCUAAUACCGUAUAACAAGUAAAACCGCAUGGUUUUACUUUGAAAGGCGCUUUUGCGUCACUGAUGGAUGGACCCGCGGUGCAUUAGCUAGUUGGUGAGGUAACGGCUCACCAAGGCAACGAUGCAUAGCCGACCUGAGAGGGUGAUCGGCCACAUUGGGACUGAGACACGGCCCAAACUCCUACGGGAGGCAGCAGUAGGGAAUCUUCGGCAACGGACGAAAGUCUGACCGAGCAACGCCGCGUGAGUGAAGAAGGUUUUAGGAUCGUAAAACUCUGUUGUUAGAGAAGAACAAGGAUGAGAGUAAAAUGUUCAUCCCUUGACGGUAUCUAACCAGAAAGCCACGGCUAACUACGUGCCAGCAGCCGCGGUAAUACGUAGGUGGCAAGCGUUGUCCGGAUUUAUUGGGCGUAAAGCGAGCGCAGGCGGUUUCUUAAGUCUGAUGUGAAAGCCCCCGGCUCAACCGGGGAGGGUCAUUGGAAACUGGGAAACUUGAGUGCAGAAGAGGAGAGUGGAAUUCCAUGUGUAGCGGUGAAAUGCGUAGAUAUAUGGAGGAACACCAGUGGCGAAGGCGGCUCUCUGGUCUGUAACUGACGCUGAGGCUCGAAAGCGUGGGGAGCAAACAGG